rnacentral:rRNA from 1 species
AUUGAACGCUGGCGGCAUGCCUUACACAUGCAAGUCGAACGGCAGCACGGGAGCAAUCCUGGUGGCGAGUGGCGAACGGGUGGGUAAAGUAUCGGAACGUGCCCAGUCGUGGGGGAUAACGUAGCGAAAGUUACGCUAAUACCGCAUACGACCUGAGGGUGAAAGCGGGGGAUCGCAAGACCUCGCGCAAUUGGAGCGGCCGAUGUCAGAUUAGCUAGUUGGUAGGGUAAAAGCCUACCAAGGCGACGAUCUGUAGCUGGUCUGAGAGGACGACCAGCCACACUGGGACUGAGACACGGCUCAGACUCCUACGGGAGGCAGCAGUGGGGAAUUUUGGACAAUGGGGGAAACCCUGAUCCAGCCAUGCCGCGUGAGUGAAGAAGGCCUUCGGGUUGUAAAGCUCUUUCGGACAGAAAGAAAUCUUUUGGGCUAAUACCCUGAGAGGAUGACGGUACUGUAAGAAGAAGCACCGGCUAACUACGUGCCAGCCGCCGCAGUAA